rnacentral:rRNA from 1 species
AUUGAACGCUGGCGGCAUGCCUUACACAUGCAAGUCGAACGGUAACAGGUUAAGCUGACGAGUGGCGAACGGGUGAGUAAUGUAUCGGAACGUGCCCAGUCGUGGGGGAUAACUGCUCGAAAGAGCAGCUAAUACCGCAUACGACCUGAGGGUGAAAGCGGGGGAUCGCAAGACCUCGCGCGAUUGGAGCGGCCGAUAUCAGAUUAGGUAGUUGGUGGGGUAAAGGCCUACCAAGCCUACGAUCUGUAGCUGGACUGAGAGGACGACCAGCCACACUGGGACUGAGACACGGCCCAGACUCCUACGGGAGGCAGCAGUGGGGAAUUUUGGACAAUGGAAGCAAGUCUGAUCCAGCCAUGCCGCGUGCGGGAAGAAGGCCUUCGGGUUGUAAACCGCUUUUGUCAGGGAAGAAAAGGUUCUGGUUAAUACCUGGGACUCAUGACGGUACCUGAAGAAUAAGCACCGGCUAACUGCGUGCCAGUCGCCGCCGUAAUAC